UGGUUGGCCAAAAAGUUCGUUCGGGUUUUUCCAUGCAAUAUUACAGAAACCCAAAUGAACUUCUUGGCCAACCC
ensembl:miRNA